rnacentral:rRNA from 1 species
GACGAACGCUGGCGGCGUGCCUAACACAUGCAAGUCGAACGAAACCGUCCUGUCUUUGUGCGCACGGCUGCGUGACACCGGGUGACCUACACGUGGGUUCCGUAUCACUCCCCGAGGGGGGUGCUAAUACCGGUGAAUGUCUUCCCGCCAAAGAUGUAUUGCCUCUGGCUGGGCCUUCGUUGGAUUAGGUAGUUGGUAGGGUAAAAGCCUACCAACGGGAGGUUGCAUGGCUGGUCGGAUAGGAUGAUCAUCCACACUUGGACUGAGACACGGACCAGAACGCUACGCGAGGGAGCAGAAGGGAAUAUUGGACAAGGGACGAAAGCGUGAUCCAGCAAUGCCCGGUGAGUGAUGAAGGCCUUAGUGUUGUAAAGCUCCCUUACCCGGGAUGAUAAUGACAGUACCGGGAGAAUAAGCACCGGCUAACUCCGUG